rnacentral:hammerhead_ribozyme from 1 species
GCACUGCCGAGGAGUCCCACAAUAGGACGAAACGGCUGUCCAGUGU